rnacentral:rRNA from 1 species
UACGUAGGGGGCGAGCGUUGUCCGGAUUCAUUGGGCGUAAAGAGCUCGUAGGCGGCUUAGCAAGUCGGGUGUAAAACCUCCAGGCUCAACCUGGAGACGCCACCCGAUACUGCUAUGGCUAGAGUCCGGUAGGGGACCACGGAAUUCCUGGUGUAGCGGUGAAAUGCGCAGAUAUCAGGAGGAACACCGGUGGCGAAGGCGGUGGUCUGGGCCGGUACUGACGCUGAGGAGCGAAAGCGUGGGGAGCGAACAGG